GACGAACGCUGGCGGCGUGCUUAACACAUGCAAGUCGAACGGAAAGGCCCUGCUUUUGUGGGGUGCUCGAGUGGCGAACGGGUGAGUAACACGUGAGUAACCUGCCCCUGACUUUGGGAUAACUUCAGGAAACUGGGGCUAAUACCGGAUAGGAGCUCCUGCUGCAUGGUGGGGGUUGGAAAGUUUCGGCGGUUGGGGAUGGACUCGCGGCUUAUCAGCUUGUUGGUGGGGUAGUGGCUUACCAAGGCCUUGACGGGUAGCCGGCCUGAGAGGGUGACCGGCCACAUUGGGACUGAGAUACGGCCCAGACUCCUACGGGAGGCAGCGGUGGGGAAGAUUGCACAAUGGGCGGAAGCCUGAUGCAGCAACGCCGCGUGCGGGAUGACGGCCUUCGGGUUGUAAACCGCUUUCGCCUGUGACGAAGCGUGAGUGACGGUAAUGGGUAAAGAAGCACCGGCUAACUACGUG
rnacentral:rRNA from 1 species